rnacentral:tRNA from 2 species
GGGUCGGUGGCUCAGUGGUAGAGCGCGUUCCUGAUAAGAACGAGGUCGAUGGUUCGAUCCCAUCCCGACCCACUA